GUUGUUUUCUCGAAAAUCAAUUUAAUGGGUUCUUGUUUUUAAGUUAUUGUGACUUUAUCAGCGCAUUUCUUAUUUUACUUGGCUCAUUGAAUGCACUUUUCGUUUAACAAGUCAACAUCAAUUUCUUUGGUGGUAAAAAGUUUAAAGGAAGGUGGCUUGGACUUCGGUUCAAGUGUUUAUAGCCUUUUUUCUAUGCCAUCGGAGAGAUUGAGGUCUGCAGCGUAGAUCCUUCGGGGUUAGAUACUUUAGUGCUAAGUUAUAGUUUUUUAUAGACAACUUGUUGACUAUAAUUAACCCUGUAAUUUACUCGCUAGAGCUAUUUUACCUAC
rnacentral:rRNA from 1 species